UCAACACGCUUCGUUCGGGUUACGGAAGCUGAGAGAUUUUUCAUCAAUGUCACCAAAGGAGUGUGUUUCUGGUUGUGAGAGAAAGAUAACCUUUUUCAGCUUCCCCAAAGAACCCAGUGUUAAGGGAACAGUGGAUGAAGUUUUGAUGUUUUUCCGGGGCAGCAAUGAAGUUGUGCACGUGUGUUUGUUUGUUACCAAAAUUUCGGUGAUGAAUGCUUUGUAAAGUCCCAGUUCGAUGCUGGAUUUGCAGAUCACGGGCGGUGAGUUAAACUGCAUCAAAUAUAUGUGUUUUGUUUGCAAUAAGCGCACAAGUGCAUAUAAUAUAAACAACACAAACGUUUUUAUUCCCUUUUUAUUUAUAAUGAUGUCGCAACUUGCAGACUAUCUCUACGGAAAAGCUGCGUAUGCUCGUCACUCUUUAGCUCUGCCCACGGCAGGCACGCCUCCAGGAGCUCUGUUUUUUUCCGAAAAACUCAGUACAGCGUAUUCAUCUUUUAUAAACAUGAUAAAACUAGAAGAAUAUGAAGGAUGCAAUACUACUCAAUAGGUACUCAAGAUUAACAUGAGAUUGGCAGAACCUGCCACGUAUUACCUAUUUGACACAUUUCUCUAAAUGAAUAGCUGCACACAAAAAAAUAAGCACAGCAAACUAAACACACUCUUAUGUUGGCAAAACAGUUCAGUAUUCACUACAUAAUGAAGCACUGCAUUUUGUUCUAGUAAUGUAUUUAUCAAAAAUAAAUACUAACAUCAAAACUACGAGUGUGUUCUCUGAUGAUUUGAUAACAAAUUCAGCUGUAGAUACACACAUACAUGAAUGAAACGUUUUUUUGUGUUCUUUACGUAAUCAUGUUCUUCAAAGUUCUUUACAGUAAUGAUGAGCUUGAUCUUACCUCUCAUGGCCAAAGAAUUUAUUCAACAUCACAACAUAUAUUUUCAUGAGUCAUGCAUCAGCUAUGAAUUGUUGCCGUGGUUACGAUGGCAGUUGACAGCAAAAAUAUCAGCUCCUGAUAUCAGCAUCAUUUUGCCAGAGAAUGUAUGUUUUUUUAUGACUCAAACUGUAACUAAAUAAUUGGAAACUUAAUUGUGAAUAAUAGAGGCAGAAGAUUUUUAAGGUAAGACCUCUAAAAAAGAUUUUAUUUUUUUUGUCAUCACCUAAAAACUGCAUAUAAACUCAACAUAUCAAGCUAACUGCUAUCCAAGCUAACAUUCCGUGGCAGUUAAUUCAGUUGAGAACAUGGGCCUACCUAAAGCGGAGGCAUUUUUCAAAAAUGAAGAGGAGUUGGAGGUAAUAUAUCCAACUGAAGUUAAAUCUACCAAAGAUGAGAAAAAGAUGAAAGAAAUUAUCCUGAGAGAGAACCCAGAGAUACUGCUGUCUGACUACAGUGGACCAGAAGACAACAGAGUCCAGUGUGACCUGCUCUUUUCACUGAACACCCAUUGGUCUGGCACACCAUCCUCUGCUCUGCCAUGACAUGCAGAAGAAAAGGAGGCAUCAGCAAAGGCAGACAACUCACUCUAGAAGGAGACAAUGACAUAAAGCCGACUGUGAACCUUUAUCAUAAUGGUACAGUCAUGGUCCAGGGACCAGACACCAGCCAGAGGAACUUUAAAAACCUUAAAUUGGAGGUUCAGAAGAUUAAGAAAGAUCCUGAAGUGAAGAGAAACACAGAGGACGGACUCUGCAACACAAUAGGCACCAACAUGAAUCCCAGUUCAAGAACUCCUAUAACAGACAGAAACAUCAGCACUCCUGCAUCUCCCAAGAUAAAGGCCUUGAGAGACAACAUUGCUGAACUGGAGCAGGACUUCUUCCUGUUUAAAGAGGCAACUACCAACAACCUCCACCAGAUCCUGAACCUGACCUGACCCAACAACUUCAACAGCUCUGCUCUGCUGUCAGACAACUGGAGGAGAACAAUCAAGAGCUGCGCCAGGAGCUGAGGAGGGUGAGAGAGGAACUGGUUAUAAGAGAACAACAUGGCCACACACUGGAGAGACUGCUGGAGGAGACCAGGAACCAGCUACACACAAAACAUCAGCAGUGUGUCAGCACACAAACACACAGCACCUCCUCUCCUGAACACAUCCCAAACUCAACUCAACAUCAGAAGAGUAUCAGCACACAACCUCAGAGCUCCUUCACUCCUGCAACCCGUCAGUCUCCUCAAGCCCCUCAGAGCCUCAAGAUGAAAGAGAACAGCAGCAUCACACAGAGUCACCCACCACCUACAAUAUCAUCACCCAUAUGAGGACCAGCAGAGAACAGAAGACUAAAGACAACGUUGUCAUCCUCUGUGACUCCAACGGCCACCAUCUUGACCCCAGACGACUGUUUCCAGGGAGAUCUGUGAAGAAUGAAGAGUGAGUGUCCCACCUCACACUCUGCUUUGAGACUGCUGCGAGAGGGUAUACUGGGAGUACCAUCACACAUCAUUCUUCACACCAGAACAAACAACCUCAGUGCUAGAAGGGUGGACGUCACUAAAGCCCUGUCCAAAGUGGUGAAAACAGCCAGCAGGAUCUACCCCAGAGCCAAGGUCAUCAUCUCAACCCUUCUACCUCGCAGAGACGUGCCACAAAGGAUCAUCAGCACAAUCAAUGCAGAGAUAGCUAGAGUCUGCGCUCCAAUGCCGAAUGUCCACAUAGCCCAUCAUCAGCGCAUCACCCAUGAGCAUCUGUACGACCACAUCCAUCAAGAGGGCAUGAGACUGUUUGCAAAAACCAUCAAGGAGUCAGCCCUGAAAAGCCCCCAGAAAACACAUCCUGACCACGAGGAGAGGGUCAGUCAGACAGACAGCUACGGCGCUGUAGUGGCAGGAUGAGGUAGAACAGACACCAAUGACCUGAUCCAGAUAAAACACAUGCUGAAAAUGGUAUGUGACAACCUGUUAGCUUAAGUAAUCACAGUGUGUCUGUAGCCAAAUAUGAUCAUUAUUUCUUUAUGAUUUCAUUAUUUCUUUUUACUUAUUUCUUUUUUAAAUUUAACAUUUGUAAAAUUGAUUCACUCACUAUAUUUCUAUAUAUCUUCUAUAUUACCUUUUUAAUUGAUUAAUCUAUAUUUUAAAACAUGAUUUGGUCAUGAAUUCAUACAUUGUUCUGGUAAAUAUAAUAUUUCUCAAUGUCAUCGUUUAAAAUAACAUGUUAUAAUAUUCAAGGGAUGUUCUCUUCAGCUUUUGGGGAGAAAAUUACUAACCCUGAUUUUGUCAAUACUGUAGGUUUUGACAAAGUUCAGAUAUAAUUAUUUUACUUGAGACAUGGAGUCAUUUAGACUCCAAAACCCGCACUCCUUCAAACUACAGAGAGCUACGAACACCCUCAAUCAAAUAGCCUAAUGUUAAAAAUGGAAGAGAUUCAGGAGGAAUCAUAGUUUGGUUCAAAGACCAUUUGUAGCAUUAUAUUCAACCUGUAAAAAAGGGAAAACACAUAUUUGGAUAAAACUUAAAAAAAGAUCUUUUGUGUUUAGAUGAGGACCUGUACCUGCAUGCCACAUAUAUCCCCCCAUAUGAGUCGCCUUAUUAUAAUGAAGAUAUCUUCUCAACCCUACAGUCAGAGAUAAUUUAUUUUCAGUCUAUAGGAUCAGUUCUUUUAAUGGGGGAUCUGAAUGCUAGAACGGGGAAGGAAGUGGACUCCAUCAGCUCUGAUGGAGACAAAUAUAUAAACGGUUCACUUAAUCAUCAACGAAAAUGAUUUACUAAAACACGUCAGAAUUACGACAACACAAUUAACAGACAUGGAAAACAAGUCCUGCAGCUCUGCAAAAACCUGGGUCGAUUUACCUACUGCUCACAUUUAGGCAGCAGCACAGUUGAUUACGCCAUCACAGAUAUAGACCAAAAUAAAAUAAAUUAUUUCACAGUAAUGUCACAGCUACCGUUAUCAGACCACAGUCACACAGUCCUCAGUCUGAACAGGUAAGUGAAUCUUGUGUCAUCUUCAGAUCACAAGGUUAAACUGUAUCCACUCCCCCCCCCCAAAUUUAUAUGGAAUAAAGACAGUCCUGCCCAGUAUGAAGCCACGCUCCACGGCACUCAUGUUCAGAACAUGAUAGACUCAUUUCUAUUGACUUCAUUCAGCGAAGAGAAGACAACGACUAAUUUAGCAACUGAAUAGUUAACUAAAAUCUUCUCUACAGUGGUCAGAAAAGCCCUGAGAAAAAGAAAAAAAAUACAGAUCCAAAAAAGAAAUUGAUAAAACUGGUUGGUUUGAUAAAGAAUGUCAAAAAGUAAGAAAAGAAUUAUGGUCAUUAUCAAAUAAAAAACAUAGAGACCCAGCAAACCAACAAAUACGAGCCACAUAUCAACAAACCCUUAAAAUGUACAAAUCACUAUUAAUACAGAAAAAAGCUGAUCACAUGAAAAUAAAACUAAACAAGAUUGAGGAGGCAGUCGAUCAAAAUUCUUUUUGGGAAUUAUGGAACAAUUUAGACAAAUCCAAAAAAGCCAAACACCUUCCCAUCUGUGACCCAAACAUCUGGACAGAACAUUUUGGAAAUCUCUAUUCACCAAACGAACCAACCCUCUCCCAAAAACAUCUGACCUCCCAAUUACAUAACCUGGAACGUACUAUAAAAGACCAGCUAAAUCAUUUAGACCAGCCCAUAGCAUUAAAUGAACUGACAGACAAGAUGAAAUCCCUAAAAAACAAAAAAUCCUGUGGCAUGGAUGGAAUAUCUAAUGAAAUGCUGAAACACAGUAGCCCCAAACUGAAAGAUGCUAUUCUAAAAUUGUUCAACCUCUUAUUAAAAUCAGGACAAUUUCCUGAAAUAUGGAAAAAAAAAUUGAUAACUCCAAUUUUUAAACAAUGUGAGAAGUCGACCCAAAUAAUUACAGAGGCAUCACAGUGAGCAGUAACCUCGGAAAACUAUUCUGUUCCAUUAUUAAUGACAGAUUAGUUCAGUUCAUUCAAGAACACAAAAUUUUAAAGAAUUGUCAAAUUGGAUUUAUGCCCAAUCAGAGAACAACAAAUCACAUUUACACACUUCACACACUCAUACAAAAAUAUGUUCAUAAAAAAAAAAAAAACAAGAAAAAAAUAUUCGUCUGCUUUAUUGAUUUUAAAAAAGCCUUUGAUUCUUUAUGGCAUAAUGGGCUUUUUCUAAAACUUAUCCAAAGUGGAAUAGGAGGAAGGACAUAUGAUAUCAUAAAGGACAUAUACAAACAAGUGCUGUGUCAAGAUCAAAUGCUCAAAUUUGCUCAAAUUCUACCUGAAUUCCAGCAAACAGGCCACAUAGACAAACUCUGUUAUAUUUUGGGAGAGAAAGAGAAGUGUAUCCACCUGACAGCGCAGUAUGUGUCCUCCUGCCAUAUUAUGAGGGACAAAGACUGAACCCUCUUCUUUCAUUUUUUUGUUUUGUUUUCAAUCUCAUUACUGCUCUAUGUAUUUAUUUACCCUGUAUUUUUACCACUUGUUAGGUUAUGUGAUAACAUAUAUACAAUAUAGCCAUGUAUAUGUUUUUUUUUUUUUCUCUCUCUUCCUUUUAUUUAUUUAUCUAUACCUGUAUAACUUGUUACAUGUUUAUUGCUUUGGCAACAUUGUGCCAUCCCACAGUCAUGACAAUAAAGCUCAAUUGAAUUGAAUUGAAUUGAAUGCUGGAUCUAUCCUUGUGCCUCCACUUCACAGACCUCUUCCAUCGCUUGGAGAAGACUAACUUUGUUGUGAACAUAUACUUUUCAUCUCCAAGAGGAGAAUAUGCUGGAAGGAACACCAUCCUGAAAUGUGAGUGAUGCUCAAACCACUCUUGCACCAGUCCUGAAUGAUGAAAUUGGACAUUGCCCCAAACAAUUACACAAUUUUGCUUAAUUUGCUCCUGAUCACCCUGUGGAAAGUGAAUGUCAUUGAGGGAGUUUAAAAAAUUUAGGAGCUUUUCUGUGUUGUGUGGCCCCAAGACAGCAUUGUGUGCCACAACACCAGUGGAUUGCAGAACUUGUUGUCCAGGGACAUUGACUAUGGCACAACGUUUAUAUCUAUCCAGCUUCUCUCAAGGAAAGGCCAUAAUUUAUGACAUGGUCAAUUAGGGUGACUCUGAUUUAAUUUGAAACCCGUCUGUACUUUAAACUUCUACCUCUGCUCCCUCCUUUUACACCUUGCUCUUCCCUUCCCUUAUGUCCAAGUCUUCUUAUAUUUUCUUCUCUUGCUCUUUCCACUAAAACCAUUGUCAUCCACUCUACCCAUCUCUUCUCCCUAUACUCCUCCCUCUUCUCCUCUUCCUACAUCCUCAGCUUUUCUUGCUUCUUCUACAUCAUCAACUCUUCUUGCUCCAUCCCCUCUUCUUAUACCAUCUAUUCAUUUCUCCUCAUCUCUUUCUACAUCUUUCAUUGUUCCUCUCCCUCUCAUUAUUAGCCUUCCACUACCUCUCCAAAACAUCUCACUCUUACACCUCUUCCUUUUCCCAUUUUUUUCCUUCUUCUUUUUUUUCUUUUCCCCUUUUAUAGUUUUUGUAAUUUAGAUAGCUGUGUAAACAAUUAGGAAAUUUUGCAUGUUGUGUGUAUUACUAACUCAGCAGAUAUUUAUUUGGGGCUAAUUGAGAACAUUCCAAGUGCAACUGAGAAUUUAACAAAUAACAGAGUUUUGUUUGUUGUGUUUGGAAAAAUGGUGCACAAAUUAUUUUGGUUCCCUUUCGAGGGAACUCGUGCUGCGUCGAUGACAUUUUGGGAACGUCUCUUCAUGAUUGCAUCGGAAGCAUGUGUGUCAACUUGUCCAAAGGUGAGACGGAACGUCACGGGCGGGGACGUCACGACCAGGAAAGCAUAAAAGCACAUCCGGAAUGACCGGUGUUAGCUUCUGUGCCUCAGCAAGCGCUCUGUGUGAAACUGUUUUUCAUAUUUAUUGUUGUCUAUCACUAUAUCAGUCACAAUCAUAAGAUAUUAUGGUGACCAAACAAACGUUUAGAUUGUGUGCUCCUCCCUGCCCUCGAUUCAUUACGGGUGGGGAUACACACGAUUUACGUGUUGUUUGUUUGGGAGCGGAGCAUGCUCAGUGAGCAUUGCGAGAGAACUACUGCUUCGCACACUCUGCUCCUGCCUGUCACUCUUUGAGGAGGGUGUUCAGGCUUGAGUUCCAUGUGGUACCAGCCCCACUGGUACCGGCCCCACUGCUACCAAGGCAGCACAGAUGUUGAUAUCUUGGGGUUCGCAAAUGGAUCUCGUGGAGUGGUUAGAGACGGGCACUGUCUUUUCUCUGCCUUCACCCGGUGGAUCCAGCGCUUUCUCUCUGGGAUCGGAAGCCUGUGCUGCGGUUUCUUCCACCCUGAGUGAGAGCCCUGUGCUUCAGCAGUCUAGCUCUGAGGAGGUAGAUGUGCUGAGAAUCGAUACGGGGGAAAUGAGGACUCGCCCCCCUCAUCUCCUGCAGAUGCAUGCAUGGUCAGCUCUUUUUAUAUAUAUAUAUUUGUAUUAAAAAAAUGGGCUGGCUGUGUUCAUUCAUAAAAAUUCCCGAAGUGUACAGGAAUGCACUAUUGGGAGUUUUAGCUCCACUUUUGUUUACUUUUGUUAUCGAGGGAAAAAAAGUCUUAUGCAAUAAAGAAUCUAGUGGCUCGGAUCUCGCAUUUGCCGAGGCAAAGUAUGUCUGUAAAGUGUAGUGUGUUGCAAUGAAUUAUGAUUCUUUUAUUGUAUAUUGAAACUAAUAUAUUUAGUCUUUCAUCCAGACUGUGUUUACUUGUCUGGUUGAUCUUUGGCUGCAUUUAAUUUUGAGGAAUUAAAUUACAAAUACUUAUCUUACUUUAAGAAGGUAGAUUUAUGUAUUAGUUCAGCCUUUCAUCCAGACUGGGUUGACUUGUCUGGUUGAUCUUUGGCUGCAUUUAAUUUAAAUCUGACUUUGAGGAGUUUGAAUUAAAUGGUAUAAUACGGCGCUGCAGCUAUCCAGCUCUGAGGAGGUGGAUGUGCUGAGCAUUGAGUCGGGGGAAACUGAAGAUUUGCCAUCUCAAUUUCCUGUGUAUGAAGAGCUUGUGGAGGUUUUAUUUCAGGCUGUGGCCAAGUUAACUCGAUCAAAAUUUCGGUGCUGCGACAGUACUUCCGCUGUCAAAUCAGGAUAUAUGGAGAUCUGCAUACCUUCAAACUGUAGGGGUGAUUGUUGUCGGGACAGCCUCAGGAUUUAGUUCUUUCACGGGGUAAUGAUGGAUUCUUGCUAUUAGCGUCCAGGGGCGUCCUCCUUUGGCUGGCAGGGGUCCAGUGCGAUCCACUUUUACCCCAGAUGGAAAGUUUUGGGCUCCCAAGAGAGCCAGAAUCCGCUUUUAAACAAAUUCAGUGGGUCGGUUGUUUUCAAAUUUCUCUUGUAGCCCUGUAAUUUUUACAUUGUGCUGACAGGAGCGACCCUCCAGGUCAUCAAGCUUGGUGUGUAGGGCUUUAUUGGCUGCAGCGAUAUCCUGGCAGAGAGUCUCUAGCACAAAGAUGCAGUUCUCAUGUACGGUUCUAGUGCCCUCCAAUUCGGAGAUGAGGGAAUUAGUUUCAGCGAGUGAUGUUUGCAUCUGCGAUAAAGUAUUUUCAAUCUGUCAUUCAUCGGCUUAUCCAUAGCUUGGAUCGAUGCUUAGAUAGCCGGUCAUGGUCUCGUCGCUAGGAGUAGCACUAGCCACUUGUUCAGUCAGUGUUUGCUUCUCCACCAACUGCUCGUCCACGUUGGUCGAUUGGUCCCCUUCUUUCACUUUAGGUUUUAUCAUCUUGACUUCAGGCUUCGUGAUGUUUUGUUAUGUUUUGUUUAUGAUUAAAUAAAUAUAAUUUUUCGAGGUUAGUGGAGGAGCCCCUCCAAACUAUGUCCACUCCAUGCAGUGCUCUCGAGAGGAUAACACUUCCGCGAGAGGAUAACAGAUCUACACGCGAGGGCACGGGAGCCCGCGAGCUCAUUUUAAACCCCCGCGCGUGCAUGACAUCUCCUCUGCGCACAAAUCAAACCCUCGUCAUCAUUCCCCAAUAAUAACCAACUGCAUAACCGCAGAACCAUACGUCAUGACAGUCUGAGGACAACAGCGCCAGACCGACAGUCUGAGGUCGGAAGUGGGCGGAGUAACAGUCCACGUCGCAUGUGGGCGGAGUUAGCGACAAAUAAACAAUCAUGGCGGAAGAAGAGAACACGGUAAAAAGUUUCUUUGUGUUUUGUUUGUUUUUAAUCGAUCAAGUUUAUUUGUUGGGUUAUUUAAUCGAUCGUUAACAGUUAACAUGACUCUUUAUCACGUCUUUUGAUAUUUUACAACUUCAGAUUAUUGUCUGACGUUCCUUGGUUACUAUUCAUGGUUUGCGAUUUUACUUUGUUGUUGCCGCUGUAUUUUAUUUCAUUGGUUACAUUUUCCAAUACUGACCAAUGUUUAUGUGGAUUUUUAGAGGCAUAUUAGGAUUCGGAGAGGCUCAGCUUUACUUCAUUUACAGCGACGCAAAACAUGCUGCAACAGUUUCCUCUGCCCAGUGUUCUUAAACCCACCAGACGGCACAGGUUGAAUGCACACCAUCAGAUUCACUCCAAAAAGGCUGUUGUCCAUGGAGUAAAUUGACAAGCAGAAUCACCCCAGGACAAUGGAAGCUGAUCAAAAACAAGGUCAUUUUUAUAAGGCUUUCAUAAAGACAUAACUUACUUAUGCAGACAUGGUGUGUUGUUAUAUCUGUCAAAUCUUUUCAGGAGCAACUUAAUAUUCUAUUGUUUUAGAAGGUUCCACAACAGUUGACUCUAUUGACUGUGGGAUCUUCAUGUUAAUGGAGCCACGGAUCACAGAAGACCUCUGCGCUGCACUUGAAUGGCUGCACAACAACCGAAAGUCUUCAAAGGUUUAGUGGAAGAGCCGUGCUUUCUGAUAUUGAAAGAGGAAGACCAGGAAAAAGCCCUUCUUCAACUUUUACAGGCUGAAACGGAUGACGACAGACAACUGGCCAAAGAGCCUUUAGUGUUUCGCUUCCAAAUUAAGGAUGAUAUGGACAUUUUUCUUAAUGAGUGUCUGGACAAAGAGUCUUGGAAUUAAUUGCAUGUUUAUGGAGAUUUGAUUUGUCACAGCUAGUAUAUGAUGCUUUUGAUACUUAAGGGGAAAAAGUACAUUUUAUUAAAAUUA